UACGUAGGGUGCAAGCGUUGUCCGGAAUUAUUGGGCGUAAAGAGCUCGUAGGCGGUUUGUCGCGUCGAAUGUGAAAACCCGGGGCUCAACUCCGGGCCUGCAUUCGAUACGGCCAGGCUAGAGUUCGGUAGGGGAGACUGGAAUUCCUGGUGUAGCGGUGAAAUGCGCAGAUAUCAGGAGGAACACCGGUGGCGAAGGCGGGUCUCUGGGCCGAUACUGACGCUGAGGAGCGAAAGCGUGGGGAGCGAACAGG
rnacentral:rRNA from 1 species